rnacentral:rRNA from 1 species
AGCUCAAAUUUGAAAUCUGGCGUGCUCAGUGCGUCCGAGUUGUAAUCUAUAGAGACGUUUUCCGUGCCGGACCGUGUCCAAGUUCCUUGGAACAGGAUAUCAAAGAGGGUGACAAUCCCGUACUUGACACGACCCCCGGUGCUCUGUGAUACGUCCUCUACGAGUCGAGUUGUUUGGGAAUGCAGCUCAAAAUGGGUGGUGAGUUCCAUCUAAAGCUAAAUAUUGGCGAGAGACCGAUAGCGAACAAGUACCGUGAGGGAAAGAUGAAAAGCACUUUGGAAAGAGAGUUAAACAGUACGUGAAAUUGUUAAAAGGGAAACGAUUGAAGUCAGUCGUGUCCGGGAGGCUCAGCCGAUCUUCGGUGUAUUCCUCUCGGACGGGUCAACAUCAGUUUUGUCCGGCGGAUAAGGGUGGCGGGAAUGUAGCACCUUCUUGGUGUGUUAUAGCCCGUCAUCGCAUACGUUGGGUGAGACUGAGGAAUGCAGCUCGCCUUCAUUGGCCGGGGUUCGCCCACGUUCGAGCUUAGGAUGUUGACGUAAUGGCUUUAAACGACCCGUCUUGAAACACGGACCAAGGAGUCUAACAUAUCUGCGAGUGUUUGGGUGCCAAACCCGAGCGCGUAAUGAAAGUGAACGUAGGAGGGAUCCGCAAGGAGCACCUUCGACCGAUCUGGAUCUUCUGUGAUGGAUUUGAGUAAGAGCAUAUAUGCUGGGACCCGAAAGAUGGUGAACUAUGCCUGAAUAGGGUGAAGCCAGGGGAAACUCUGGUGGAGGCUCGUAGCGAUUCUGACGUGCAAAUCGAUCGUCAAAUUUGGGUAUAGGGGCGAAAGA